GUUUGAUUCUGGCUCAGGAUGAACGCUGGCGGCAUGCCUAAUACAUGCAAGUCGAACGGAGUGAAGCCUUCGGGUUUCAUUCAGUGGCGAACGGGUGAGUAAUACGCAGGGAACCUGGCCAUGGCAGGGGGAUACACUCUGGAAACGGAGCAUAAGACCCCAUAGGCAGUAAGGCGGCAUCGCCUUGCUGUUAAAGAAAGCUGAAAGGCUUUGGCGAUGGAUGGACCUGCGGUGCAUUAGCUUGUUGGUGAGGCAACGGCUUACCAAGGCGAUGAUGCAUAGCCGGCCUGAGAGGGCGGACGGCCACACUGGGACUGAGACACGGCCCAGACUCCUGCGGGAGGCAGCAGUAGGGAAUUUUCGUCAAUGGGCGCAAGCCUGAACGAGCAAUGCCGCGUGAGUGAGGAAGGUCUUCGGACUGUAAAGCUCUGUUGCCGGGGAAAAAGGGGAAAUGCAGGAAAUGGCAUUUCAUGGAUGGUACCCGGCCAGAAAGCCACGGCUAACUACGUGCCAGCAGCCGCGGUAAUACGUAGGUGGCGAGCGUUAUCCGGAAUGAUUGGGCGUAAAGGGUGCGCAGGCGGUCUGUUAAGUCUGAAGGCAAAGGGAUGAGCUCAACUCAUUUAUGAUUCAGAAACUGGCAGACUUGAGGACAGGAGAGGGCGGUGGAACUCCAUGUGUAGCGGUAAAAUGCGCAGAGAUAUGGAAGAACACCAGUGGCGAAGGCGACCGCCUGGCCUGUGACUGACGCUGAGGCACGAAAGCGUGGGGAGCAAAUAGGAUUAGAUACCCUAGUAGUCCACGCCGUAAACGAUGAGGAGCAGGUGUUGGGAGUGAAAUCUCAGUGCCGAAGCCAACGCAGUGACUCCUCCGCCUGGGGAGUAUGCACGCAAGUGUGAAACUCAAAGGAAUUGACGGGGGCCCGCACAAGCGGUGGAGUAUGUGGUUUAAUUCGAAGCAACGCGAAGAACCUUACCAGGUUUUGACAUCGGAUGCGAAGGCGCAGAGAUGCGCUGGAGGCUAUCAUCCAGACAGGUGGUGCAUGGUUGUCGUCAGCUCGUGUCGUGAGAUGUUCAGUUAAGUCUGGCAACGAGCGCAACCCCCGUGGUAUGUUACUAACGCAUUUGGGCGAGGACUCAUAUCAGACUGCCGGUGACAAACCGGAGGAAGGCGGGAAAUAAAAUCAAAUCAUCAUGCCCCUUAUGACCUGGGCUACACACGUACUACAAUGGCGUCUACAGAGGGAAGCGACCCUGAGAAGGGAAGCGAAACCGGAAAAGGGCGUCCCAGUUCGGAUUGAAGUCUGCAACCCGACUUCAUGAAGAUGGAAUCGCUAGUAAUCGCGGAUCAGCAUGCCGCGGUGAAUACGUUCCCGGGCCUUGUACACACCGCCCGUCAAACCAUGGAAGCCGGCAACGCCCGAAGCCGGUGGCAUAACCUUUUAGGAGUGAGCCGUCGAAGGCGGGGCCGAUGACUGGGGUUAAGUCGUAACAAGGUAUCC
rnacentral:rRNA from 1 species